ACCACAACAACGGUUAUUUGCGCUAAGAACCAUUGGCAUUCCUAAGUUAAUGCAUCAAUUAACAUUAGGUAAUGCCAACUAUGGUUUCUGAAGUCGCUCGAUGGUGGCAGUCAAAAGGCAGUUCGUUCAUGGCUGCGACUACCAAAUGAUACUACUAACGCAUAUUUUUAUGGCAAAUAGUAAAGAUGGGGGCCUAUCUUUUCCAUCAUUAAGGUGGUUAGUUCCUCUUAGGAGGAAAAUUAGACUGGUCAAGGCUGAACUGGUGAAUCCAGCUUCCACCAACUGGAGAUUGAAAAAUGUGACAAGAAACUAAUGGAGAAUAACAUCGUCCUUGCCUCUCAGGAGCAACUGGAUGAACGAUGGGCUCGGCUACUGCACAAGUCAGUGGACGGGUCCCCAUUGGUAAAAAUCAUCCAAAGUACCAUCACAACAUCGGUGGGUGACUGAAGGCAACAAGUUCCUGACAGGGAAAGAUUACGUGAAUUGCAUUAAGUUCAGAAUCAAUGCAAUGCCUACGAGAUCCCGAACAACCAGAGGUAGAACAGAGGACAGGAACUGUAGGGCCGGUUGUAAUGCUCCAGAGACGUUAGACCACGUCCUACAAACGUGUCACCGUAGCCAUCGUCAACGAAUAGAACGACACAAUGCAGUCUGUAACUACGUCAAAAGAGCGUUGGAGAAAUCACACUCUCGUGUUGAUUGGGAGCCAACCUUCAAAACACCUGAAGGCACUCGGAAACCGGAUUUGAUCGCGUCACAGGGUCAGAAAGCAAUUGUACUGGACGCCCAAAUUGUAGGAAGCUCUACUAAUAUGGCCGGAGCCCACAGACGGAAGAUCGAGCACUAUAAAAAUCUGGAGGACGUAGUGAAACUGAAUACAAUGUGUCAACAUGGUUUUAACACAAUUACCCUUAACAUCAGGGAGUCUGGCACGAAGAAUCGGCGAACUUUCUAGUGUCGGAAAAGAUAUUAAACAAGAAUGAAUUGAAGGUAAUCUCUACCAGAGCGAUAAUCGGAGGACUAAACGGAUUUGCGAAAUGGUCAAACACACGACUACAAGACACGAGCCACAAGAAUCGGAUGACCACCUGAUUGCACGCGUGCUGCCUGCGCACAACAUCCCCCAGGCACAAUACUAGGAGUUAGGUUUAGUGGGUAUUGCCUUCGGGCCGAGUCCCACACUAUUGGUCAACCUGGCGACCAUUGUACAAAUGUAUUCCCCUCCUAGCCAAAAAAAAAAAAAAAAAAAAAAAAAAUAGCCAAAUGCCUCGUCAUCUAACUAGUGACGCGCAUGAAUGGAUUAACGAGAUUCCCACUGUCCCUAUCUACUUUCUAGCGAAACCACUGCCAAGGGAACGGGCUUGGAAAAAUUAGCGGGGAAAGAAGACCCUGUUGAGCUUGACUCUAGUCUGGCAUUGUAAGGAGACAUGAAAGGUGUAGCAUAAGUGGGAGAUAGUAAUAUCGUCGGUGAAAUACCACUACUUUCAUCGUUUCUUUACUUACUCGAUUGGGCGGAAAGCGUGCGUCGAAAACUUGCGUUCCGACUGUCACGGUUUUCUAGAGCCAAGCGCAUAUGAGUGGUGUGAGCCAUUGCGCCGAUCGCCAACAAUACUCUAGCGUGAUCCGAUUCGAGGAAACUGCUAGGCGGGGAGUUUGACUGGGGCGGUACAUCUGUCAAAUAAUAACGCAGGUGUCCUAAGGCCAGCUCAGCGAGGACAGAAACCUCGCGUAGAGCAAAAGGGCAAAUGCUGGCUUGAUCCCGUUGUUCAGUGUGCACAGGGACUGCGAAAGCAUGGCCUAUCGAUCCUUUUGGCUUGAAGAGUUUUCAGCAAGAGGUGUCAGAAAAGUUACCACAGGGAUAACUGGCUUGUGGCAGCCAAGCGUUCAUAGCGACGUUGCUUUUUGAUCCUUCGAUGUCGGCUCUUCCUAUCAUUGCGAAGCAGAAUUCGCCAAGCGUUGGAUUGUUCACCCACAAAUAGGGAACGUGAGCUGGGUUUAGACCGUCGUGAGACAGGUUAGUUUUACCCUACUGAUGAAUCGUCGUUGCGAUAGUAACCCACUCAGUACGAGAGGAACCGCAGGUUCGGACAUUUGGUUCACGCACUCGGUCGAGCGGCCGGUGGUGCGAAGCUACCAUCCGUGGGAUUAUGCCUGAACGCCUCUAAGGCCGUAUCCUUUCUAGACAAAGUAAGCAACGAUAUCUCUAAGAGUCUCGUGAGUCGAAAGGCUCAAUACAAUGUGAUUUAUUAGGUAUUCGGCACACGCCGUUUAUCGCACGAGCCAUAUUUAGCCGAAUGGGGCGCUG
rnacentral:rRNA from 1 species